rnacentral:rRNA from 1 species
UUGAACGCUGGCGGCAUGCUUUACACAUGCAAGUCGAACGGCAGCGCGGGCUUCGGCCUGGCGGCGAGUGGCGAACGGGUGAGUAAUGCAUCGGAACGUGCCCAGUAGUGGGGGAUAGCCCGGCGAAAGCCGGAUUAAUACCGCAUACGACCUGAGGGUGAAAGCGGGGGACCGAAAGGCCUCGCGCUAUUGGAGCGGCCGAUGUCGGAUUAGCUAGUUGGUGGGGAAAAGGCUUACCAAGGCGACGAUCCGUAGCUGGUCUGAGAGGACGACCAGCCACACGGGAGGUAAGAGGCAGCGCGGGCGCCGAGGGGAGGCAGGUGGGGGAAAUUUUGAACAGUGGGGGCAACCGUCACCCACCCGGGCAGGGGGUGGGAAGAAGACUUUCGGGUGUGAACCGCGUUUUUUGCGGGAAGAAAUCCUUUGGGGUAACCCCCCGGGGGAGUGAGGGUGCCGGAAGAAAAAGCACCGGAUAACGGCGU